UAUUGUAGUACAACGUUCUUAAGCUUAUGAAAUAUUUAGAUUUCAAUUAUAAAGUAAUUAUUAAAUAUGCCUACCCUGAGAGAUGUAUGAGAUAUUUUUUCUUCAUACAUGUGUGAAGAAUGAAGUUUCUUAGGGAGUUUUGAGUUCCCUGGCACUUUUUCCUUUCAUCCAUCCUUCCCUGCCACACUAUUUUUAUUUCAUGACAGCUGUCAUUUCUACUGUGAGGAUUUUCUCAAAAUACCUAUGCACAGGAUAUCUUUCCAAACUAAAUAAUAUCCUCCCAGACAUGUUUACUUCUUGCCCUGAAGUCUGAUAUCUAUACCUUUUUUACAGAAGAAAUUUAAAUUGGAGUCAGAAAUAGGAUUUCUCAUUACAAAAAUCUUAAAAUAAGGAUAUUAUCUUUGAUUAUACAGAUCAGUCUUAUAUUAUCACAUAGAUUUAUAAACUAGCAUGUGGGCACAGGGGAGACAAUGACUUUCAAGAGGAAAGAAAGAAACAGAAUUUUCUCUGGGGAUCGCAGAAGGAGUUCCAACAACGUUUGGAUUGUAGAACAAUGAAAUUAAUUCUGAACCUCCUGUAACUGGAGCCGUAAAGCAGUAAGCUUUUGUAAUUUAUGUCACGAGCCUUCAGAAUGGUUAGAGCAGAAACAGGGAAUCAAUACGAUUCAAUUUCAGUAACUAGAAAAUUACUAAUAGUUACAUAUGCAACCAGUGAAUGCUUUCCUAAGCAUGCUGAUAUAAGAGAACGGCACAACUCUGGCAUUUGGGGAUCUUCCUUCUGAACUACAGAGAAGUCUGUAUUUGGAUUCAAGGCUUCAGGUUUUGCUUUGCUUUGUUUUGAUUUUGUUUAUUUACUUAUUUUUUCCUAGAACCAUUGUCGACUUUUUAAUUCUCUCCAGGUUUUUUUUUUUUGGAUAUUUCCAUGGAAAUACUCAUACAUACACAUAAUUAUGUUUACAGUGAGCCAAGCAGAUUGCGAAGGGCUGGUCAAAGAUCAAAGAUAGGAAAGACCAUACUGACCGUACGGUAGGUCAGCAUCAUGUGCUGUUCUCCCCCCAGCGCUGAGUUCCCCGGCUAACAACUCAGACUCAAACUAUAUUUACAAAUACCUAGGCCUUAGAGCAAGGCUUCUUCCCUGACUAGCUAAUAAUUUGAAAUAACCCGUUUAUAUUAGUCUACAUUCUGCCACAUGGCUGGUUACCUGUACUCCUGUGCCCUCAUAUCCUUCCCAGUGACUUUGCUACUUUAAUUAUACGUGACGAUGUAGAUAGCUAAUGGUCUGAGUAAAUACAAUUGUCCCUUUUUAAAGUUUCUAUGGAGACUGUAAAAUUGCCACUUAUGCAUGGAACGACUUGAGCUAAAAGGAAGCCACAUGAAAACCAUGUACUUCCCUCACCCCUUUUUAUUUAUUUUUUGUAUGUGAGUACAUAGCCACUGUUCUCAGACACAACAGGAGAGGGCAUCAGAUCCCAUUGCAGAUGGUUGCGAGCCACCAAGUGGUUGCUGCCAAUUGAACUUCCAGGAACUCUGGAAGAGCCGUGAGUGUCCCUUUUACUGUAAUUUUAUUUUUGACUUUCCUAUAGAAUAAAUCAAAUUCUGUGCUUGAGUAAGCUAAGCAGCCACAGGAAAGGAGAACUGGUCACUUAAUCAAAGGAUCCAAUGGAGAAGACUUUUCUUCUUGGUUUAAUAGUUUAAGGUAAUCAUGGGAACAGAAACAUUAGCUCUUCUUUGUACUCGUUUAUUAAAAUGUCGGACUUAGGAAUUCUAUCUACACACCACUUUAAAACAGGUUCUUAGGACUAGUCAAAGUAUGAAAAAUAAGUACCAGUGGAAUACUCAGUCACAAAUGAGACAACUGCAUUGCCCUUUCCCCAAGGACCGAAGUAGGGAGAGGAGUGGAAAGAUUGAGUCAGAGAUUGGGGAAGACCUGAGUGAAAGCCGUACCUUCUGGGCUGCACAGGACCGCUGCACUGACAAACUCUUAGUAGGGAAAGCUAAUUGUAGAGUUUCCUAAUGAGCAGUGUGGCACAUUCCUUUACAGUCUCAGCACCCAUGUGACUUUGAUGAAUCUGAAAUCUCAGAGAGAAGAUUUGUUUCAUAAUAAGCUUUCAAAAUCAUUUACAUAGCCACUGGUUUGUUUCUCCCAUAAAGAGGAGCAUGGAGAUAGGUAAGGAGAAACCUGGGUGGGUAGUCCUUGCCUGGCAUGCAUGAGGCUCAAUCCUAAAAACCCUCUGUUAGUUUCUACUUAAUCUUUAAUUAAAGUAUUUUAUUUAGUUACAUAAAAACAUACAUAGUUGCCCCCUUCCUGACCCCCCUGCAAGAGUUCUUCACCCCAUCUCCCUUCCCCUUUGCCUUUGAGAUUCACCUACAAUUCACCCCAAAUAAACACCCACCCACCCCCACCUAACCCUCCUUCCAGCAUCCCCCUUCUCUGAGGCAUCUAGUCUCUACAGGAUUAGGCACAUAUCCUGCCACUUAGGCCAGAAAAGGAAGUCCUUUGAUAUAUUAUGUGCUAGGCACACACCAGCGCAAGUAUACUCUUUGGAUGGUGGCUUAGGCUCUGGGAGCUCUGAAGGGUCCAGGUUAGGUGGUACUGUUGUUCUUAGGUGUUGCCAUCCCUUCAGCUCCUUCACUCCUUCCCCUAACUCUGCCAUAGGGGUUCCUGACCGCAGUAGAGUGGUUGACUAUAAGUAUCAGCAUCUGUCUCAGUCAGAUACUGGUAGAGUCACUCAGAAAACAGCCAUGUUAGGCUCCUGUCCACAAGCACAGUGGUAUGGAUGGAUCCCAAAUUGUGAUGCUCACUAGACGGCCCUACCUUCAGUCUCUGCUCCAGUUUUAUCCCUGCAUUUCCUUUAGACAGCAAUAAUUCUGGGUCAAAUAUUUUGGAGACAACCAGCCCCAUCUUUUCAACGGAGGCCCUGUCUAACUACUACAGGUGGUCUCUUCAGGUUCCACUUCCCCACUGUUAAGCAUUUCAGCUAAUGUCAUGCCAAUGAGUCCAGGGAUCCUCUGGCAUCCCAGGUCUCAAGGAUGUUCUAGAUGUUCUCUCUGCCCCUCCAGCCCCCGCCCAGAUCCUGCAGCUGCAUAUUGCCAUUCAUUCUCCUGGUCCUCUGGCCUUUGCUCUGGUCUAUCCCUACAUCUGACUCUGCUCCCUCUCCCUCCUCCCUCACAUGUUCCUACAUCCCUCUGUCUCCCAUGAUUAUUAUGUUUUUUCUUUUCCAUACUGAAAUCCCCUAUUCCAACCCCGCUUCCCUGGCUUCUAUAAAGGUGGUCCCCCACCCUCCAACUUCCUCCUGCCUCCUUGCCCUGGCAUUUCCCUACACAGAGGCAUCAAGUCUUCAUAGGAUCAAGGGCCCCUCUUCUCAUCGAUGCCCUAUAAGGCCACCUCUGCAACAUAUGUGGGUCCCUCCAUGUGUACUCCUUGGUUGGUGGUUUAGUCCCUGGGAGCUCUGAGGGACAGGGUCUGUUUGGUUGAUAUUGUUGUUCUUCCUAUGGGGCUGUAAACCCCUGGAGCUCCUUCAUUCCUUUCUAUAACUCCUCCAUGCAAGUCCUAUUCUCAGUCUACUGUUUGGCUGCUAGCAUCAGACUCUGUAUUUGCCAGGCUCUGGCAGAGCCUCACAGGAGAAAGCUGUAUCAGGCUCCUGAUAGCAUGUACUUCUUGGCAUACACAAUAGUGUCUGGGUUUGGUGACUGUAUAUGGGAUGGAUUACCAGGUAGGUCAGUCUCUUUCCUUCAGUCUAUGCUCCAUACUUUGUCUUUGUAUUUCCUGCUAUGAGUAUUUUGUUGCUCCCUCUAAGAAGGACUGAAGCCUCCACACAUUGGUCUUCCUUCUUGAGCUUCAUGUAGUCUGUAAGUUGUAUCUUGGGUAUUCCAAGCUUUUGGAGUAGUGUCUAUCUAUCAAUGAGUACAUACCAUGUGUGUUCUUUUGUGACUUCGUAACCUCAUUCAGGAUAUUUUCUAGUUCCAUUCAUUUGUCUGAGAAUUUCAUUAAGUCAUUGUUUUUAAUAUCUCCAUUAUGUAGAUGUACCACAUUUUCUUUAUUCAUUCCUCUGUUGAAGGACAUCUGGGCUCUUUCCAGCUUCUGGCUAUUAUAAAUAAGGUUUCUAUGAACAUAGUGGAAAAUGUGUCAUAGUUAUAUUUUGGAGCAUCUUUUGGAUUUAUGCCCAGGAGACAUAUAGCUGGGUCCUCAGGUAGUGGAAAGUCCAAUUUUCUGAGGAACUUCCAGACUGAUUUCCAGAAUGGUUGUAUCAACUUGCAAUCCGACCAACAAUGGAAGAGAGUCCCUCUUUCUCCAUAUCCUCCUAUCUGUUGUCACCUGAGUUUUUGAUCUUAGCCAUUCAAACUGAGGUAUGAGGUGGAAUCUCAGGGUUGUUUUCAUUUGCAAUUCCCUGAUGACUAAGUAUGUUGAACAUUUCUACAGGUGCUUCUGGGCCAUUUGAUAUUCCUCAGGCGAGAAUUCUUCCUUUAGCUCUGUACCCCAUUUUUAAUAAGGUUAUUUGAUACGCUGGAAUCUAACUUCUUGAGUUCUUCGUUUAUAUUAGCUAUUAGCCCUCUAUUGUGUGUAGAAAUGGUAAAGAUCUUUCCCCAAUCUUUUGGUUGACAUUUUGUUCUAAUAACAGUGUACUUCAUCUUACCAAAGCUUCGAAAUUUUAGGAGGUCUCAUUUGUCAAUUUUUGACCGUGGAGCAUAAGCCAUUGAUGUUCUGUUGAGGAAAUUUUCCCUGUACCCAUGUGUUCGAAGCUCUUCCCCCAUUUUCUCUUCUAUUAGUUUGAAUGUACCUGGUUUUAUGUGGAAGUUCUUAAUCCACUUGGACUUGAGCUUUGUACAUGAUAAUAAGAAUGGAUCGAUUUGCAUUCAACAUUGUGACCUCCAGUUGAGCCAGCAGCAUUUAUUAAAAAUAAAGUCUUUUUUCAGUAGAUGGUUUUAGCUCCUUUACCAAAGAUCAUGUGACCAUCAGUGUUUGGGUUCAUUUUUGGAUCUUCAAUUCUAUUCCAUUGAUCUACCUGCCUGUCUCUGUACCAAUACCAUAUAGCUUUAAUCAUCCCUGACCUGGUCAGGGAUGGUGUUUCCCCAGAAGUUCUUUUAUUUUUGAGGAUAGUUUUUGCUAUGUUGGGUUUUUUGUUAUUCCAAAUGAAUUUGGAAAUUGUCCUUUCUAAGUCUAUGAAGAAUUGAGCUGGAAUUUUGAUGGGGAUUGCAUUGAAUCUGUAAAUUGUUUUCUGUAAGAUGGCCAUUUUUCUAUAUUAAUCCUGCCAAUCCAUGAGCAUAGGAGGUCUUUUCAUCUUCUGAGAUCUUCAAUUUCUUUCCUCAGAGAUUUGUCAUACAGACUUUUCACUUGCUUGGUUAGACUCACACCAUGGCAUUUUAUAUUAUUUAUGACUAUUUUGAAGGACGUCAGUUCCAUAAUUUCAUUUUCAGCCUGUUUAUCCUUUGAUUAGAGGAAGACUACUGAUUUAUUUGAGCUAAUUUUAUAUCCAGCCACUUUGCUAAGGUUGUUUAUCAGGCUUAGUAGUUCUCUGGUGAAACUUUUUCGGUCACUUAAGUAUACUAUCAUAUCAUUUUCAAAUAGUGAUAUUUUGACUUCUUCCUUUCCAAUUUGUAUCCCUUUGACCUCCUUUUAUUGUCUGAUUGCUUUUGCUAGGAUUUUGACUACUAUUUUGAAUAAAUAAAGAGAGUGGGCAGCCUUGUCUAAUCCCUGAUUUUAGUGGGAUUGCUUCAAGUUUCUCUCCAUUUAGUUUGAUGCUGGCUACUGGUUUCCUAUAUAUUGUUUUUAGUAUGUUUAUAUAUGGGCCUUGAAUUCCUGAUUUUUCCAAAACUUUUAACAUGAAGGGGUGUUGAAUUUUGUCAAAUGUUUUCUCAGCAUUUGAAGUUGAUAGAAGAUCUUUCUGACGUGUUCUUGGAUACACCUUGUGCAAAUUUUAUUGUGUAUUUUUGCAUCGGUAUUCAUAAGGAAGUUCUGAAGUUCUUUUUUAGGGGGGCUUUGGGUGGUUUACAUCUGAGCACAAUUGUGUUUUCAUAGUGUGAAUUGGGUACUGUUCCUUCUGUUUCUGUUUUGUGGAAUAGUUUGAAGAGUACUGGCAUUAGGAUUUCUUUGAAAGUCUGAUAGAAUUUGCACUAAACCUAAUUAGUCCUUGGCUUUUUUAUGGUUGGGAGACUUUUAAUUACUUCUUCUGCUUCUUUAGGGGUUGUGGGGCUGGUUAGAUUGUUUAUCUGAUCCUGAUUUAAUUUUGAUACCUGGUAUCUGUCUAGAAAAUUGUUUCCUCCAGAUUUUCCAAGUUUUUGUUUGUUUGUUUUUUGAGUAUAAGCUUUUGUAGUAGGAGCUGAUGAUUUUUUUAAUUUCCUCAGUUUCUUUUUUUAUGUCUCCUUUUUAAUUUCUGAUUUUGUUAAUUUGAAUACUGUCUCUGUGCCCUCUGAUUAGUCUGGCUAAUGGUUUAUGUAUCAUACUUCAUGUUGCUUUUGUGAAAGUAACAACCUCUGGUUUUGUUGAUUCUUUGUAUAGGUUUUUGUUGCUGUUGUUGUUGUUGUUGUUGUUGUUGUUGUUGUUGUUGUUUCUACUUGGUUAAUUUCAGCCCAGAGUGGGAUUAUUUACUACCAUCUACUCUUCUUGGGUGUAUUUGCUUCUUUUUGUUCUAAAACUUUCAGUUUCACCGUCAAGCUGCUAGUGUAUGCUCUCCUGUUUCUUUUUGGAGGCACUCAAAGCUAUGAGUUUUCCUCUUGGCACUUCUUUCUUUGUGUCAGAUAAAUAUGUGUAUGUUGUGCUGUCAUUUUCAUUAAAUUCUAAAAAGUCUUUAUUUUUUCUGUAUGAUAUCUUCCCUUGAUCUUCUGGCUUUCAUAGUCUCUGGUGAGAAGUCUGUAGUAUAAUUCUGAUCGGUCUGCUUUUAUAUGUUACUUUAACUUUGUCCUUUCAUGCUUUUAACAUUCUUACUUUGUUUUGUGCAUUUGAUGAUUAGGCUAGUAUAUGACAGGAGAAAUAUUCUUUCUGGUUCAAUCUAUUUGUGGUUCUAUAGGUUUCUUGUGUGUUCAUGUGCAUCUCUUUUUUUAGGUUAGCAAAGUUUUCUUCCAUAAUUUGGUUGAAAACAAUAAUAAUUUGGGAAUCUUCAUUUCAUUCUGUACCUAUUAUCCUUAGGUUUGUUCUUCGUAUUGUGUUCUGGAUUUCUUGGAUGCUUUGGGCUAGGAGCUUUUUGCCUUUUGCAUUUUCUUUGACUGUUGUGUCAAUAUUUUCUAUGGUAUAUUCUGCCCCUGGGAUUCUCCAUUCUAUCUCUCGUAUUCUGUUGGUAAUGCUUGUGUCUAUGUCUCCUAAUAUCAUUCCUAGGUUUUCUAUCUCCAGGGUUGUCUCCCUUUGUAAUUUCUUUAUUGUUUCAAUUUUUAUUUUUAGACCCUUGAUUGUUUUGUUCAAUUCCUUCACCUGUUCAUAUAUGUUUUCCUGGAAUUCUUUGAGGGAAUUUUUUGUGUUUCCUCUUUAAGGACUUCUACCUGUUUACCUCUAUUGUCCUGUAUUUCUUUAAGGGAGUUAAUUAUUCAUGUCCUUCCUAAAGUCCUCUAUCAUUGUCACGAGAUGUGAUUUUUAAAUCUGAAUCUUGCUUUUCCGAUGUUACAGGUUAUCCCAACUUGUUAUAGUGGGGGAACUGGGUUCUGAUAAUGCCAAGUGGCCUUGUUUAUCUCUAGUGCUACCUGCCAUUGUUGUCUUUACUGGACCCUGUUCCUCCUGUAAUCCUGGAUGUGUCGGAACUCCUCAGAGUCCAGUUGUUUUUGUGUUCCUGUGAUUCUAGGAUCCCAUGAUCCUGACUGAGAUCCUGGGUGUGUCACAGCUCCUGGGAGUCAAGCUGCCUCUGAGAUCCUGAAAUCCUGGUGUAACCAAGCUCCUGAGAUCCUGUUGUGUCAGAGCUCCUGAGAGUCAAGCUUUUUCAGGGUGUAACAGGAGGGGUGGGGAGCCAGAACCCUGCAUUUGCUCUGGGCACUGGUUCAGACUGCAAGGCGCAGUGAGUGUUCUGAAAAACCGAGCCAUCUCUAGAGCCCUGUGUAGCUUAGGCUGGCCUCAAAUUCAUAAUCCUCCUGCCUCUGCCUCCUUUACCAAGUCAUACUGGUGUGUGUCACCACAAUCACCCAGGUUUUCUUUAUUCCCACAUAACUUUAUAUUCAAUCAAAUAUGUUUUAUAAAUAUAUAAAUUCUGUCUGAUUUUUGACACAUAAUAUAGCACACUACAAAGGCCUCCAGAAAAAUAUCCAAGCCAUCCUUGCUUAUUGUAUCAAUAUGUGUUCCCUUUUUCCAAUAAAACUAUAGAGUCACUAAAUAAAUACUGGGGAUUAAAACAGCUCCUUUUUAGAUCUUUGGUAAAUCUCAAUUUAUUUCUACCACUGUUAAAUUUGCAACAAUAAUUAUAUUACUAUUUGUUAAAUGUUGCAUGAUAAAGAGCUAUCAUUCUCAAGGUUUACUUUUCAGUAGUUUUCAUAAUUUUCUCUCUUUUUGCUCCCAAAAAUAUUAUGUUAGUAAUUUCUCUAUAAUAUACAUAAAGCAUAAAGACAUUAGAGUUCAGAAAAUAUAAUUAUCCAAAAUGUUACCCAGACAGAUAAUUUAAAAAUGACUCUUAAUUUUACAUACAUAUGUGCAAAGCCAUUUACUCUUUUUUUUUUCCCCCGGUUCUUUUUUUCAGAGCUGGGGACCGAACCCAGGGCCUUGCGCUUCCUAGGUACUCAAGAGAAAUGGAUCAGUAUCAUUCUCUGCUAUACAGCAAACCCUGCUGAUAAACCUGAAGUAUAAGACCUCUGUAAACUGCCCUAAAGAAGAUAUGACUUUAAGAUAAAUGCAGUAGGACACACCCCUCAUCAAUGAAUCUUCUCUUUGCAGCAAGUAGAAGUCAUCACAGACAAUGUAACGUAAACAAUACAAAGUGGCCAAAUUUAAGUUCUAAACACAUAAACAGAAAAUGGACUUAGAAGAGACAAAAGGAUCCUGGUGUCCGCACGUGUUCUUGCUGGCGAGAAGAUAGCGCGGGAUAUUUGGUGCCGAAACCCGGAACAAACACCUCACCAUCGCCGGCACCGAGGAGAGCCUCCGUUCGCGGAGAGGGUCCAGAACUGCAGGUCGAAAGGUAAGCUCUGAGAGACAUGUUUGGUCUUGAUCUCUCUCGUCUCUCUCCCCCAUUAGAAGAUGCGGUGGAAGCUUUUGUAUUGUUUUGGCAGGGCUCAUUCUUUCUCUUUUGGUUUUUGAUUUUGCGGCUGCUGCUAGGCACAGUCAGAAAUCAUGCUUAGAAGAUGAGAAAUGCCGCCCAACAGUAAUAGCAGGACAGGGAGCGCUAUGGGAGUUACAGGACAGCAUGUCAGAAACAGAGAGGAAUGAAAGAUUAAAGAGCUCAAAGAGAAAAGGUGCACCUAAGAAAAAAGGCCCUUCCAAGGACCUUGGAUCCGAGGAAGUGAGAGAUAAGGGAAAGACACCCUGGGAGAGAAAAAGGGAGGAGAUAAAAGGAACACAGUAUUUUGGGAGAAAAAUUUUGUCUUUGUGCUUGUAAAAGGUGUGAUUGGGCUCUGGAAACUUCACAGAGUCAUACUGAUCAGAUUUGAUAGAGGUAGACCGCCUGAAACAUUUAUUCAGGAGAAUCAAACAAAAAGAUAUCUCAAUUUUCCUACCCCCUACCCCCAAGGACAUCUCAACGCCCAUACACAUCUUGAUGGAGUUAAUGUAAUUGGGUUGUGAGUGGAAAUAUUCAGGACUGUGUUUCACUUCCAUACCAUUUGUGAAUGUCAGUCGUGCUGCUCAGAUAUCCCAUAAUAUAUCUCAGUAUCUUACAGGAAUUUGGUUUCAACACAUUGAUGGACGAGUCCAGGAAUUGAGACAAUCCAUCGUCCAUAUCAGCUCCACUCAAGUGGAUGGUCACCGUGGAAGUGGUGGGAAAGGGGAAAUCCUACCUCUCUGCUGACUCCUAUUGGAAUCUGGGUCCCUUUGGUGGGACACCAUCUAGUUUUUCCCUGUAUGUGUAUUGUCUGUCCUUGGUGCACCAAGCUGUCCAUGUCUGUCAGUUUAUGUCUGUGGUUCUUGCUUCUCGUUGUUUAAAUGUUUUAUGUUUCAUGUUCAAAAGAGAAAAUGGUAAAAACUUUAUCUGCCAAUCGUUCACAUCUUGAUUUGGUUUUAACUCGUUUCAAAAAAGGAACCAAUGAAUAAAAAGCAGUUUUAAUCAGUCCUUGGAGCCCUGUAUCUGUAGCCAGGAGGCUAGGUCAGCUGGAGAAGCUGUCCGGGGAUGAGCAUCUGCAUGAGCUGAUUAUUAGACUUAGCAGGUGACAAGGUGCUUCUCUUAAAAUCACAGCUAGAAAAGUCAUAAUGGUGUUUGGUCUAAAUAUUAAAGAUAUGUGUAGCCACUUCAAUUUUGUUUCUCAUUGGUUUUAAAUGUAUAAAUAUGCUCUACAUGUCUUGGUUAUGGACUAUUGGCUUUUAUGUUAUUGGAUAUGGUUUAAAAGGUGUAAUAUUGGUAACAAAAAGUUGACAUAAAGCUGAUAAUAUGGAUAAAGUCAUUCUAGACAACAUGUGACAUGAGCCAACCUAGGGAAACAAGUCUAAAUUGAGAUAAUAUUUUUAUGGAACUCUUAUCCUAGAAACCAGGCUUCUAAAAGAAUUUAGGACAAUGUCUCUUUCUUGAGGUAUUGGAAACCGCACCAUCGUGCGUUGAUAUGUAGGAAUUGACAGUCAAACUUUGUAGCAUGAAGGAUAGACUCGGUGUCUUGGAGACUAGAUUUCAGAGACUAGAUUGUUUGUUGGAGGUUGAGUUUUGCUUUCCAAAGUUGUGGUUUGCCCUGAAGUUAUCUGUAUUUUAAUGCUAAUUCCACUGCCCCAAGGACAGCUGCGUAGUCACUACUCAAAACUCAGGUGACCUUGUGGUUGUGCUCUGGUGUUACAAGGAGAACUUAAGGAUUUGAUUAAGGAUUGCCAGUGUUACAUUGACUAACUCAAACUUAUUUAUAAUUGAGGAAAAAUCAAACAGGUAGAAAUUGUUACAGGAUUUACAAAGGAUUGAUGAGGUUUUAGAACUUGUGAGAGCAUUACAGCCAGUUUCCUUACUCCAACUGCCAUUUCAAGACAGAUUUAGAGGAUUGAUUUUAUGCAAUUUGUUUACGUCAUAGCAAUUGUGAGUUUUCAUUUCAUGAGCUUGCUUAUAAUUUUAGAGAGCCCAUGAAGUGAUAUCAUUAAAAAUUUUACAAAAGAAUGGCUAAUAGCCUUAUAUUAUGUAAUUUUGUUGCUUCUUCAAUGUAAGAAGUUAGAACUUUGAAUCUUUCAGUGUAUAUGGAAAUUUUUACUACAAAUCUUUGCUCUCAAAAUGAGCUUUAAUAUUUGGGGAGUAGCUGUUACACUACUCCAGAAAAGAAUAUUUGAAACUAAUUUUAAGCUUCUAAGGAUGUGUUAAUUGCCAAAAUACCUCACCUUACGAGAGGACUUAAGCCUUUGUUAUCCUCAUUGGAGAUAAAGCUUCAGUUGUAUUAAUACAUAAUUGUAGGCUAGAGUCAUGGAAGUAUUUUAAAAAGAAACCUGGUGAAACAUACCUUAUUCCAAACAGCAAUCAAAUUGGUUAUUACAAAAUACUGAUAUUUGGCCUAUUACAUAUACAAAUUUUUCAGGCAAAAUUGAUAAUUUUACUCUUUGCAUGCUUUUGUAUUUCCUGUAUAUUUGUGCAUGCAACCCAUAGGAAAUGCGCUUACUGUAUCUAUAGGUGGUUCAUCUAAUGAAAAGGCUACAUGUAUGAUUGGAUCACUUGUUUAUUCUCUUGAGUUUCCCCUGCUUCAACACAGACUAUUAAAUUACGUGCUGUAGCCACUGUUUUUAAAAUGUUAAAAAAUCAAGCUUUCAAUUCAUAUACUGAUAGCCAAUGUGUGGCUUGUGGUUUCACAAUUGAUUAAAAAGUUUUCCUGUUUUUUUUUUUUUUUUUUUUUAGAUACUACUAACCCUUAAAUUUUACAAUUAGUUAAUGCCUUAUUGGAGACAAGUUUUCUACAUGAAAUCAGUGAGUGAUGAUUUCAGUGUGAAUGUCUGACAACUCACUGUCCUUUCAGUGCUCUGGCUCAGACAACUAAACAAAACCAUAGACCCAGCUCUUUGAAAAUGAUAAUGGAGCUGAUAACACACCCUCAGGAAAAGAGGAAGACUCCAUUUGCUUACUUUCAACGCCCAGCCUCACCCUGCCAACUCAGGGAUUUCUAAAUAAGGCUAAAUCUGGACCUUGUUUACAGGAUUCGGCAUUUCUAAUUAAUGCUUAAAACUUGUGAGGUGCUGGAGAAAUGGCUUAGUGGUUAAAAGCACUAAGUACUGUUCCUUUGUAGGCCAUUUGGGAACUCAAACUAGAUUGCCUGGACCCCUUAACGAGGGAGGACAAUGAUACUAGACAGUUUAUAUCUUAAUAAAUAAAAAGGGGGAGUUAUAUCCCUGUAUGCUAUGUAUGCUAUACAAUUAUUUAAUAAUACUCCUUUUAUUUCCAAUUUUAAAAUUUGGAUGCCAAGGAACUCUGAGUGUUUAUGGCACCCUACAACUAGGCAUACUUCUGCAUUUGGCAUGAUCCUGUCCAGGUAUUUUAUAUGGGAAGAGGGAAUGUUUGUGUUUUUUCUACAGGAUUCUACAAGAGUAUGCCAGCUGCCAGAGGUGGUUGCUGAGACUUGCUGAUCCUGGGAGCAUGAAGAUUCAGCUCUCGUGGUUCGGGUCCCUGGAGUCAUUCCUGUGUCCUUGGAGGAAGACGGAAGAUUCCCCCACAUCUUUUGUCAUCACAGAGAUUUUGACUUUGCUGCAAUCAUUGUGUCCCAUCCCACCAGGGCCUGCACUCCAACCCUCUGUGCACUGCUGCUUGCUGGAGAAGAUUGGAUUCCAGCUGUUACCCCUGCCCCCCUCAUUCCCCUGGUGACUCUUGCUGCCUUAGUCAUUUUGCAGUCUGUGGCUUCACAGGAAUGCCAUCUGCGUGAAACUGCUGUGGACUGGGGAACUCUGCCCUGGUUGUGCAGAUCUCAGACAUGGUUCCAUUGCCUGCUGGUUGUUCCAGAGAAGAAUGACUGAUCCUAAACUGUCCUGGGAAAGACCUUCUUACUUUCGCUGCUAUUGUAGCAGCCAUUAUUGCUGCAGGCAUUGUGUCUGCAGUGUCUAGAGUUACCCUCCCCUAAUCUAUUGUUAGGCAAACACAGUGGGUCAACUUUCUGGAGUAGUUGCUAACAAUUGGGAAUUCUAAAUUUUAUUAUAGGAGCAGCCCUUGAUGGUAGCAGCUGAGGAGAUCCAGAUGAGGUGCCCACUACUUAUCAGGAGUGGCUCUGUUUGGUGCAGCCCUAUGCUGUGGAUUAGUGUUUAUGCGAUGGUUGGUUUGCAAACUCAGAUCUCAAAAGAAACAUUACAAGGUCGUUAUUACUCAAGAACUUGUGACCAUUGAACAAGGGGCCUCCCCUGAAAUUUGGUUAUCUAUCCUCAAAAAUUAGUCGACAUCUGAGUUCUCUGCUCUUGCACCCCAUGGAUUUGUGGAUCCAUUGCACUGGGAUGAGAGAGACUCAAUGAUUCUUUGAUCAUCCCUUCUACAUCGCUGAGGUUUCCUCAUUGCAUGCGAUAGGGUGAUCAUGAUUUCCCCACUAACUCAUUUUCUGGCUGGCCUCUUUUGUAGAGUUCGCCCUAGGUCGUUUAGCAGUUACUGUCACACAGCACUGCGGUAUCCAGAGAUGGGCAACUUUCCUCAUGCACAGACCAAUCUAAGACAUGGGGCCCGGUGGCGAUAGGGUUACCCUAUGACAGAUAAGGCUGUGACAUUAGAGGAACGACCUAAGACAGUAGCCACAGCAGAUGGACGUAACUGCAGAGGCCUAGACCAGCCUCAUUCUAGUAAAACAAAAAGGGGGAGAUGUGGAAAGCCGCAAUAACAUUCGCCAUCACAAGAUGGCGCUGGCUUCCACUGCGCCAGCCCGACUUCCUUUCAGGAAACUAGCUGUGUGCUCAUGUGCAAGAGUGUGUUCGCACCAAGUCUUUGCCCACCCCGGGGCGUGCCAGUGAGAUCAUGGGUAAGCGACCAAUCAGGCAUGGACGCGCUGUGCUAGGGUUUUUUUUUUUUUUUUUUUUUUUUUUGGUUCUUUUUUUCGGAGCUGGGGACCGAACCCCGGGCCUUGCGCUUCCUAGGUAAGCGCUCUACCACUGAGCUAAAUCCCCAGCACCAGUGCUAGGGUUUUAUAAGCAGCACCUUUCUGGGCCCCGGUCUCUCCUCUUCAAGAUGUAAUAAACGCUUUGCUGCAGAAGGAUCCUGGUGUCCUCGCCUGUUCUUGCUGGCAAGAUGAUAGCGCGGGACACCAACCAAAAAAAAAAAAAAAUUACCAGGACCAGAUGGGUUUAAUACAGAAUUCUAUCAGAUCUUCAAAGAAGACCUAAUACCAAUACUCUUCAAUCUAUUCCACAAAACAGAAACAGAAAGAAUACUAUCCAAUCACUUUUAUGAAGCCACAGUUACACUUAUACCUAAACCCCACAAAGACCCAACAAAGAAAGAGAACUUCAAACCAAUUUCUCUUGUGAAUGUGGAUAACUAAAUACUCAAUAAAAUGUUCACAAACUGAAUCAAUGAACACACCAAAAGGUUCAUUCAUCAUGAUCAAGAAGUCUUCAUCCCAGGGAUGCAGAAAUGGUUCAAUAUAUGGAAAUCCAUCAAUGUAAUCCACUAUAUAAACAAACUCAAAAAAAAAAAACAAACAUGAUCAUCUCAUAAGUUGAGGAGAAAUCAUUUGGCAAAAUUCAACACCCUUUCAUGAUAAAAGUUGGGGAAAGUUCAGGAAUUUGAGGCCAUAUUUAAACAUAGAUAUACAGCAAACGAGUAGCCAACAUCAAGCUAAAUGGAGAAGAACUUGAACCAAUUUCACUAAAAUCAGGGACUAAACAAGGCUCCCCAUUCUCUCCAUACUUACUCAAUAUAGUACUUGAAAUCCUAGCCAGAGCAAU